rnacentral:rRNA from 1 species
CCUACGGGUGGCAGCAGUCGAGAAUUAUUCACAAUGGGGGAAACCCUGAUGGUGCGACGCCGCGUGGGGGAAUGAAGGUCUUCGGAUUGUAAACCCCUGUCAUGUGGGAGCAAAUUAAAAAGAUAGUACCACAAGAGGAAGAGACGGCUAACUCUGUGACAGCAGCCGAGGUAAUACAGAGGUCUCAAGAGGUGUUCGGAAUCACUGGGCGUAAAGCGUGCGUAGGCUGUUUCGUAGGUCGUGUGUGAAAGGCGCGGGCUCAACCCGCGGACGGCACAUGAUACUGCGAGACUAGAGUAAGGGAGGGGGAACCGGAAUUCUCGGUGUAGCAGUGAAAUGCGUAGAUAUCGAGAGGAACACUCGUGGCGAAGGCGGGUUCCUGGACAUUAACUGACGCUGAGGCACGAAGGCCAGGGGAGCGAAAGGGAUUAGAUACCCUAGUAGUC